GAUGACGCUGGCGGCAUGCCUAAUACAUGCAAGUCGAGCGAGCGGCGGACGGGUGAGUAAUGUCUGGGGAACUGCCCGAUGGAGGGGGAUAACUACUGGAAACGGUCGCUAAUACCGCAUACCAUCGGAUGUGCCCAGAUGGGAUUAGCUAGUAGGUGGGGUAACGGCUCACCUAGGCGACGAUCCCUAGCUGGUCUGAGAGGAUGACCAGCCACACUGGAACUGAGACACGGUCCAGACUCCUACGGGAGGCAGCAGUGGGGAAUAUUGCACAAUGGGCGCAAUCCUGAUGCAGCCAUGCCGCGUGUAUGAAGAAGGCCUUAGGGUUGUAAAGUACUUUCAGCGAGGAGGCGUUACUCGCAGAAGAAGCACCGGCUAACUCCGUGCCAGCAGCCGCGGUAAUAC
rnacentral:rRNA from 1 species